rnacentral:rRNA from 1 species
AUUGAACGCUGGCGGCAGGCUUAACACAUGCAAGUCGAACGAGUGGCGGACGGGUGAGUAAUGUCUCGGAAACUGCCUGAUGGAGGGGGAUAACUACUGGAAACUGUAGCUAAUACCGCAUACCAUCCGAGCUGCCCAGAUGGGAUUAGCUAGUGGGCGGGGUAAAGGCCCACCUAGGCGAAGAUCCCUAGCUGGUAUGAGAGGAUGACCAGCCACACUGGGACUGAGACACGGUCCAGACUCCGACGGGAGGCAGCAGUGGGGAAUAGUGGACAAUGGGCGCAAGCCUGAUGCAGCCAUGCCGCGUGUAUGAAGAAGGCCUUCGGGUUGUAAAGGACUUUCAGCGGGGAAGCGUUACCUGCAGAAGAAGCACCGGCUAACUACGUGCCAGCAGCCGCGGUAAUAC